GGGCCCGCACAAGCGGUGGAGCAUGUGGUUUAAUUCGAUGAUACGCGAGGAACCUUACCAGGGCUUAAAUGUAGUCUGACAGGGGUGGAAACACCUCCUCCUUCGGGCAGAUUACAAGGUGCUGCAUGGUUGUCGUCAGCUCGUGCCGUGAGGUGUCAGGUUAAGUCCUAUAACGAGCGCAACCCCCUGCCGUUAGUUGCCAGCAUGUAAUGAUGGGAACUCUAACGGGACUGCCGGUGCAAACCGCGAGGAAGGUGGGAUGACGUCAAAUCAUCACGGCCCUUACGUCCUGGGCUACACACGUGCUACAAUGGCCGGUACAGAGGGCAGCCACACGCAAGGUGGAGCGAAUCCCAAAACCCCCAUCUC
rnacentral:rRNA from 1 species